GGCAGUCAGUAUGUCAGUAUGGCAGUCAGUAUGUCAGUAUGGCAGUCAGUAUGGCAGGCAGGCAGUCAGUAUGGCAGGCAGGCAGUCAGUAUGGCAGGCAGGCAGUCAGUAUGGCAGGCAGGCAGUCAGUAUGGCAGGCAGUCAGUCUCUAAUAAUAAUAAUACUGAUAAUAUUAAACAUGGAGUAGCUGGACUGCCAUGAGAUCAGAUCACAGAGGGGGCCGCAGGGGAUUCUGGGAGAUGCCGGGUCAGCCCUGUCACCCCGAGCGGCCGGUACCGGGAACGGACUCACCGAACUCUGAGGCGAUAUCCCGGCUCAGGUAUUCCCGCCAAGCAAAUCAAACCGAACCGACCGAGACACAGCUGCU